GGAGAGUGCAAAGGCAGAAGGAGGGCUUGGACUGCGAGACAGACAGGUCGAGCAGGGACGAAAGUCGGGCUUAGUGAUCCGGUGGUUCCGCAUGGAAGGGCCAUCGCUCAACGGAUAAAAGCUACCCCGGGGAUAACAGGCUGAUCUCCCCCAAGAGUCCACAUCGACGGGGAGGUUUGGCACCUCGAUGUCGGCUCAUCGCAUCCUGGGGCUGUAGUCGGUCCCAAGGGUUGGGCUGUUCGCCCAUUAAAGCGGUACGCGAGCUGGGUUCAGAACGUCGUGAGACAGUUCGGUCCCUAUCCGUCGCGGGCGUAGGAAAUUUGAGAGGAGCUGUCCUUAGUACGAGAGGACCGGGAUGGACGCACCGCUGGUGUACCAGUUGUCCCGCCAGGGGCACCGCUGGGUAGCUAUGUGCGGAAGGGAUAAGCGCUGAAAGCAUCUAAGCGUGAAGCCCCCCUCAAGAUGAGAUUUCCCAUCGCGUCAAGCGAGUAAGAUCCCUCGAAGAUGACGAGGUCGAUAGGUCCGAGGUGGAAGCGUGGCGACACGUGGAGCUGACGGAUACUAAUCGAUCGAGGGCUUAACCAC
rnacentral:rRNA from 1 species